UACGGAGGGUGCAAGCGUUGUCCGGAAUCAUUGGGUGUAAAGGGUGCGCAGGCUGGCGCCUAAGUCGGAGGUGAAAUCUUGCCGCUUAACGGUAAAAUUGCCCCCGAUACUGGGUGUCUUGAAUCUGACAGAGGUCGGUGGAAUUCGUAGUGUAGCGGUGAAAUGCGUAGAUAUCGGGAGGAACACCAGUGGCGAAGGCGGCCGGCUGGUCUGGAACUGACGCUGAGGCACGAGAGCGUGGGGAGCGAACAGG
rnacentral:misc_RNA from 1 species